rnacentral:rRNA from 1 species
AUUGAACGCUGGCGGCAGGCUUAACGCAUGCAAGUCGAGCGGAGUGAUGGUGCUUGCACUAUCACUUAGCGGCGGACGGGUGAGUAAUGCUUAGGAAUCUGCCUAUUAGUGGGGGACAACAUCUCGAAAGGGAUGCUAAUACCGCAUACGUCCUACGGGAGAAAGCAGGGGAUCACUUGUGACCUUGCGCUAAUAGAUGAGCCUAAGUCGGAUUAGCUAGUUGGUGGGGUAAAGGCCUACCAAGGCGACGAUCUGUAGCGGGUCUGAGAGGAUGAUCCGCCACACUGGGACUGAGACACGGCCCAGACUCCUACGGGAGGCAGCAGUGGGGAAUAUUGGACAAUGGGGGGAACCCUGAUCCAGCCAUGCCGCGUGUGUGAAGAAGGCCUUAUGGUUGUAAAGCACUUUAAGCGAGGAGGAGGCUCUUUUGGUUAAUACCCAAGAUGAGUGGACGUUACUCGCAGAAUAAGCACCGGCUAACUCUAUGCCAGCCGCCGCGGUAA